AUCGCUUCUCGGCCUUUUGAGCUAAGAUCAAAUGUAGUAUCUUUUCUUAUCAGUUUAAUAUCUGAUAUGUCCUCUAUAUGAGACUUACAUAUUAAGCAGAUUUUGGCAUGAGGGCAGAAAUUUGACUUGGAGCUCCCUUUCUCUCCACGCAUCGACCUAGCAUUGCAGUGCCGCUGGGAACGGUGCUGUUGUU